rnacentral:tRNA from 1 species
UAAGAGGAAAAUCCGUCGACUU